rnacentral:rRNA from 1 species
GGCUCAGAACGAACGCUGGCGGCGUGCUUAACACAUGCAAGUCGAACGAACCUUCGGGUUAGUGGCGGACGGGUGAGUAACGCGUGAGAAUCUGCCCUCAGGAGGGGGAUAACGGUUGGAAACGACCGCUAAUACCCCAUAUGCCGAGAGGUGAAAAGAAAUUCGCCUGAGGAUGAGCUCGCGUCUGAUUAGCUAGUUGGUGUGGUAAUGGCGCACCAAGGCUUCGAUCAGUAGCUGGUCUGAGAGGAUGAUCAGCCACACUGGGACUGAGACACGGACCAGACUCCUACGGGAUGCAGCAGUGGGG